UACGGAGGGUGCAAGCGUUAUUCGGAUUGACUGGGCGUAAAGCGCGCGUAGGCGGCUUACUAAGUCUGAUGUGAAAUCCCUGGACUCAAUCCAGGAAGUGCAUUGGAUACUGGUAAGCUGGAGUACAGGAGAGGAGAGCGGAAUUCCAGGUGUAGAGGUGAAAUUCGUAGAUAUCUGGAGGAACAACAGAGGCGAAGGCGGCUCUCUGGACUGUUACUGACGCUGAGGCGCGAAAGCGUGGGGAGCAAACAGG
rnacentral:rRNA from 2 species